ensembl:lncRNA
GGCUGCUGGAGGUAGCAGAGCUGAGUGGACAUGGGAUCUGGUCCCAUAGAGUCUUGACAGCCUCCCUGGCGAAGGAUGGAAAGUGUGAAUUGACUCUAAUUAGGGAUCGCCCAUGUGGCCUCCGAUGUGUUAGUUUAAAUCAAACAUUAGUAACUGUCAAUUUCUUCUUUCACCCAAGACCCAAAUCCUGUAAACACAAGGACCGUAACAAAUCCCUGAAGCAGGCUUUAGCGCACAUGUAUGGAAAACAUACUAAACUAUAAAUACUGUAUACCAUAUGGCAUCAGGAUUAUCUAAUUUCACUUCAUAACUGGUGAUAAAAUGACCAAUCAACUGACGUGCAGAACGAAAUGCCAAGCCAACGAUUCAGCUAGCCUUCAGGCGGCUCUGAGGUCUCAUCAUAUCCCAUUGCACCCUAAAAAUAAGCACACACCUAUUUCACUGGCACUAAGAGCAUGAAUAUUGUGAGAAUCUGCACAGCGGGUCUGCCAGCAAAGCCAAAAUUUGUCCUCAUUUCUCUGCAGGUAUGCUAAAGAACAUCUCCUAUGGAUUUGACCUCAGAAACAGCAAAGAGAUGGGAUGGUGCAGAAGAAGCUGGAGAAAGAAGAGAAAAAUAAGAUGGAAAAGAAACAAGGUGUAAACAAAAAACUGUGGUGUCAAUACACACAGCUUAAAAAGGCUAAAUGAAUGUCCUGAUCCAACAGGAUGUGAGGAUGUGUGGAAAGAGGGACAAAGUCUCUCAUUGCUUUUACAUCAUGGUUUUCAAGUAGUCACCUAUUCUGUACUACGGCUGAACAAAAAGGAUAAAGAAAAUACAAACAUUACACAUAAAAAUCUCACUUCCUUGAGAAAAUGGAUUAAAAAGGGAAGAAAAAGUUGAAAGAGUUUAUUAACUCUGUAAUUUAAUGACUCUCACUUAGAAUUCUCUAAGUCCUUUACAAAUAAUUCAGACCCAACGCCACUGCAUACCUCAGCAUGAAUGUUGCUCUGUGUAGGCAGUUGGACAUCUAGUAUACUUAAAAAGGAAAAAAGCAAUUUAAAAUGCUUUGCUGAAUUGCAUAAAAGAGCAGAUUAAUUUUCAUCCCCACUCUGGGAAUGAUGAAAUGGGGACAUGGGAGAUUUCAAUGUCAGUGUUAUCAGAAGACUCCACAAAUGGUGGUUUCUUCUAUCUUUUAGGACUGACAGUCGGAAGCACUGGGCAACACCACUUUCUUCUCCUCUUGUCACAAGACAAUGCUUUCCUCUUCCCCAGACAAGCACAAUUCCUGCGUUAUUUGCUUUUCAUUUCUCCGUUACAUGAGAUAGCCACGUUGUGUUGCUGCACAAAGAGGGGCUUUGUUUCCCAACUAAAGGCAGGCAAAUAACUGGCUAUUGAAAUUUAUAAGGAAUGGAAUAAUGUGACAAAAUGCCAUGUUGCUGGAAUGCUUCUGUUCAAGAGCAUGCCUGCACAGAUGGAGCAGAGCCUUGUCACCAGUGACCUUGCUCGCUCUUCCGCACCAGUUGCAUUUUCCAAGUUCCUUCCUCCUGCUGCAGCUUUGGACCUUCCAUUCUCAGUGGUAUUGCAACCAGCCAGCGGGAACCUCAUGAGGCAAUCCUUUAAAAAGAAAAAAUAAAAUAAAAUCAGAUUAAAACGACAUCACAUUGAUGUUGCAAAGCAAGCUACCUCGGUGUUGGUGUAGCAUGAUCUCCUGCCCUCCAGUGCCUGCCCAUUUCAGAUGUCCUCAUCAUCACAAACAGAAGCUCUAGUGCUAGCAAAGCACCAUAGCUAGUCAGCCAGGCCUAUCCAGCAGUGUAACUUGAGUCACCCAACGACUGUAUUUUUCGUGCAAUCUAUAAGAAGUUGGGAUUAAAUACCCAUUUCAUCAUUUUUCAUUCAUGACUGACUCUACAAUAAAUAUGCAUCCCAAUGACAAACCAGGCCAUAAAACAUCUAGGAAGGCUGAGAGCUUCCUGACACCUCCCAAAACUUCAGGCAGAGCACGCAGUGAUGAACACAAGCAGCCAUGAAUACCACAUACUCAAGCAGCUGUAUGCCAGGAGAGCAUCUGCACAGAGCUCAGCACUCUGUGUAGAUGCCCUGGGCAGUGCAGCACAGGGAGCACCGUGCACCCAGCAGUCACUGGUUUUCCUCUGAGUGCUGAAACGCUUUUUCAAGAGUUGUAUUAAAAUGCAUCAAACCAGGAAAAUUACUCUCAAACACUGAGCCCAGUCUUCACCAGGUAAAUUCCUAUUCAGCCUGCAGCAUAAGCAAAGACUUCAGGAUCUACAAAUUGUAAUUAACUUGCUAAAGUAGGUCAGGACUGUAUAUCGCAGCACAGAGGUACUUUGGCUUUAAUAAUUUCAAAUAUUUUGAGAAGCAAACUGAAAACACUUAGUCAAAUUAAGUGUUUUCUCUGAGCUGUCAGCAUUGCCAGCAUUGCCAAGAUGAACGGGAUAAAUUGGAUUAGAUGCAGUCUAUACGCUUCAGACCCUAAUGGAAAAGGAUCCAAAAUGUAAAGCAAAGCACAGAGGCAAAGCAAAUAUUAUAUAUUGUCAGUGAAGCCGCAGAUCUCAGCUUACUGAUUAGCCAAAUAGUUUGAAAUAGCACGACUCAUCUCCAGGAGAAGCAGAACACUGCUGCUUGCUCCCAUGCAACCCAGUUUGUGACAGUGCAACAAUCUCUGCCUGCUCACGGAGGAAUUUGCAGCUGGAGAAACAGCCUGGUAAGUAAAUGUUCAUUUAAGUUAAAUAUGAAAAGUGAAAUCACAUUAGACAAGAUAACACCACAGGC